rnacentral:rRNA from 1 species
UCCGUAGGGGGCAAUCGUUGUCCGGAAUCAUUGGGCGUAAAGCGCGUGUAGGCGGCUCGAUAAGUCUGCUGUGAAAGUCCAGGGCUCAACCCUGGAAAGCCGGUGGAAACUGUCGGGCUAGAGUCCGGAAGAGGCGAGUGGAAUUCCUGGUGUAGCGGUGAAAUGCGCAGAUAUCAGGAGGAACACCAAUGGCGAAGGCAGCUCGCUGGGACGGUACUGACGCUGAGACGCGAAAGCGUGGGGAGAAAACAGG